UAUAAUAACACUGUUUAAUUGUUCGACUUCUCAAAUCAAUUUUACGUCGUUAAAUAAUUUCCCCCGGCUAAUAAUCGAAUUGUUCGAUAAAGUAAUAGAAAGAAAGGGAUCUGUAAUAGCGUUUUCCUAUGAUAAAAGCGCGGAUUCGCGCGCGAUUCACGGCAAUCUACUCCGAUCUCAGUUGAGUGGCGCCAACCGUGGACGAUUCGCGAGGUCGUAGAACGGAUUGCCAUCGUGCAGGCGUCCCGCUGGACCGCUCGCAGCAUCCAGGCUGUGUCGUGCGCCGUCGCCGGCCGGUCUCGCGACGCGCAAAGCGCGAGAUGAGAAUCGGAGCGAUGACGGAGAGAGAAAGAGGAAAGAGAGAAAGAGAGAGACAGAGAGAACGUUUGAAACGCGAAAUCUCUAACGAGGAACACUCAGAGCCACGCGAGCGGUCGCGCGACACGGUACGAACGUUUGAACGCAUGUCGUGUCAACGACGUCGCGUUAUGUGCAUCGAGAAACGUACGAGCCACGUGAGGCUCGCUUGUGCCGUUUUGUUUCUCGUGGCAAUUGUUCCGCCGCUCGGACUCUGCCAAAAUGCCGAGGUACGUGGUACAUUCGGGGACAGGAGGAGAUCGGAUCUUUCCGGCGACGAGCCGCGCACUCUGCAAACCCAUCAGCAGUAUAGCCAGGACGCAUCUUCUGAGGAAAUGGAGGUGCUCGAGAAAAACAGAAGGAUGCUCUCGUCGCGAGGUGUUAUCAAGGAGCCGGGAGGAAUGGAGAUGGAAGCAAGGGCGAGGACCCGCGGCGAUGAAAGCAACAAACAUCUCCUUUGGUCGGAAAAUGGUGCGAAAAUUCCGCUUCUUUGGCGAAACGUAAAUGUCACAAGUUUGAGUAAGCAACAAGAGGGCAAUUUUGGAAGUCGAACACGCAAGAAACGUCGUAGAAGUAAGGCUUCCGGUGUCGAGGAUCGCGUACACGACAUUACCGAGAAUAGUCGGGAGAACGAGAUAUCGAACAAGCAGGAUCAAUCGUCAUGGAAAAGGAAUGACCCUUUCUCAAAGUCAAGGCCGAGGAGUCGGGAAGCGCGAAAAUCCCGUGCGGAGAGACGAAGGCGGAAAAAGAAAGAGAGGAAGGAGCGUAAUAGAGGAGGCGGGAAGAGCUCCCGACAAAACGACAAGCGACAAGACGUCGAGCGUCACUCAUCGAAGCGCGAAGAGACCGACACGUCCAAACGCUCGAUCGAAAAAUCGUCGAACGUCACCGCCGAUCGUUUGACCUCGUUGACAGAAAUUGUCGAUGGUACUACAACGUCGUCGAGUCUCCAGCGUCAUUCGACGCUCGAGGCGACCAACAGGCUAACAAGGACGACGCCUCGUCGUGGUGUUUACGUGGCCGAUACGGUGGAAAGGGAAUUCUCCAAACAGCUCGAGAUGGAGAUUUCCAAGUCCAUGUCGAAGGACCUGUCGAUUCUGGACGACGGUAUUUUCGAUAGCUCUCCGAAGAAAUCGACCGGACGAGAUGUCGAAUGGAGCGAGGUCGACGGGAAAAGUAUGGACGAGGACGCUUCGUCGAACGGCAAAAUUGAUUUCGGGAACUCGCGUUACGAUGCCGAGAAGAUGCUGGGCUAUUCGAGGACCAAGGAGGAUCUACCGAUUCUCGAUCUGGAGAAUGAGGUGCUGGAGAGAACCUUGAAGGACUACAACGCGUAUAGGCUGAAGCCGGCGUCGUUGCCACGCGAACUACCGCCGCCAAUUCCUCGCACCUCCGGUUCUCAUCCGCCGAGAAAGCCGAUAAUUAAUUCGGACGAGAGCGACGACGAAGAAACAAGCACGAAAGUCACAGGCAUGAUGCGGGACGACAGCACGAGCGGGGACUUAUCUUGCAUAAACGGGACGUUCCUGCCGGCGCCUCUAUCUCGCCAUGCUCUGAUCAAAUAUGUAAAGUCCUCGACCCCGGGGCACGAGUAUUUGGAAGCCGAUUACGAGUGUGUGCCAGGCUACCGUAUGGCAUCCUCCACGAGCCGAUUAGUCUGCAGGAGACGUCAGUGGCUCGGACAGGUGCCAAAGUGCGAGAUCAAGCAAAAUCCGGACGGGAUAUGCGCCGAGGCAUCCUGCGAGCACGAUUGCAACGAAAUUAACGGGCGUCCCGUCUGUUCCUGCUACAAGGGAUUCAGAUUGGUGGACGGCCACAAAUGCAUCGACAUCAACGAAUGUUUACUGAACAACGGCCACGGUCCUUGUCAGGAUACCUGCCGAAAUCUCAUUGGAGGAUACAAAUGCUCCUGCGAGGGUCUGCGGGACGCAUCGCUGGCCGCCGACAAUCACACGUGCGAACAUGACAAGCACACAGGUCCGUGCAGUGUCAACAAUGCCGGAUGCUCUCACACGUGUUUGUCCACGAUGGGUCGGGUAUUCUGCCUAUGUCCCGACGGUUUCAUCCUCGAGGAUGACUGGAAGACUUGUCAAGAUGUGGACGAAUGCUCGGUGCCGGAUCUUCAGACGGAGCUGUGUCGCUAUGGGUGCAUCAACACCCCGGGUUCCUAUCGAUGCGCGCAACCUAUGGAGCUGAAGGAUCAGCCAGUUUUGGACAGGCUGUCCAUCACUUGCCUGCCGGGUUACGAACAGACUUCCUAUGGAACAUGCAUUGAUAUCAACGAAUGCGCGGUUGAUAACGGGGGCUGCACGGAGGUGUGCGAGAAUACAGACGGUAGCUUCUUCUGCGCUUGCGAGGGGGAUGAAAAGGCUCUGUCAUCCGAUGGAAAAUCCUGCGUAGACAUAAAUAGCAUCGCGUGUCCACUGUUAAAUCCGGUUGGUCGUGGUUAUUUAAUAUGUUCCCGAUUAGCCACGUCCAAAUUGUGGCGGGACAGACGAAAAGUGCCCAAUCGACCCGGCACGAGAUGCUUCCUAAAGUGUCCUCGUGGGUAUCAGCUUCACGAGGAAUACGAGUUGACCUGUCGAUCCGAUGGCACGUGGGACGGAUCGGAGAACGGAAGAUGUGUCCGAUAUAGCAAACCCCGAUUGGAGUGUCCGAGGGAUGUCGUAGCCGAAUUACCGCCCGGUAAGGAUGAGGCGUUCGUGACCUUCGAUCAACCAGCGACGGAUCUCGAUUGGUUCCGAUACGUGCGAUCGAAACCAUCCUGGGGUACGCGUCUCGAGGCCAGCCUGAAGCCCGGAGUGCACGAGAUUACGUUCUUCGCGCGACACCCGGUAUCGAAGAAGCAGGCCAGCUGCGCGCUACGCAUUAUCGUCAAAGACGGCGAGGCACCGAAAGUCAAAGAUUGUCCGGGGGACAUCGAAGUCGUCGGGAGAAAUGGAACUGCGAUCACGUGGACGGAGCCGAUCUUCACGGAUAAUGUCAAGGUGACGCGGAUCAGUAAUAAUGAGAGCCCGGGUCGUCGCUUCGACAUCGGCGGUCACAGGAUCGAGUACGAGGCGGGUGACGAGGCCGGUUGGUCGAGCAAGUGCGUCUUCACCGUGGUCCUUCGUCGGGAAUAAGCAGCUGGAGAGACAGGAGGAAGGAUUAGGGACGCGGCGGGGAGAGGGUGAGGAGAGAAAGAGAGAGAGAGAGACUGAGCGGACGAGAAAAGAGGGGAAGAGAAAAGCAGCGCCGAAGAAUAACGAUAAGCAUAAAAAACGAGAGAUAAUGCAAUUUGCUCGAUCAAGCUCCAGAAACCAUGCCCUGCAAACUAUGCGAUUGAAUUGAUACGCGUCAGCGUGUCAUCAAGAACACAUCAUCUUCAAGUCAACGUUUUAAUAAAAGCCGGAAUCAUCGAUUUAUGUAUCUCACUUUUCUCUUAACUUUCUUUAAAAAAAAUAAUUCUUUCGCGUUAUUAUGUGUAAGUUAUAUAUAACGAUUAUUUAUAAAGAUCAAGAUCUCUUACUUAUAAUGUAAAGACGAAAGAAAGAAUAUAAUAAAACAAAGUUAAGGUUCUCACAGAAUUAUAAUAAUCGUAGUUUUGAUUUACCACCUCAACAUUGAGCUCCCUAAUCAGUGACAUUCUAGUCUUCGAGAGUUUAAAUUUUCGAACAUACGGAUUUAAAAAGCAAAUGUAAGAACUUUUGGAAUUUUAGUUUGCAAUCGUCUCUCUUUGUUAAUUAUAUUCUAAUAACACACUUUGCUAAUAUUUCAAAAUGAUAAGCAGAAUAAAAAAUAAGAAUUUUAUAUAUAUAU